rnacentral:rRNA from 1 species
CGAAUGCUGACAUAAGUAACGAUAAAGCGGGUGAAAAGCCCGCUCGCCGGAAGACCAAGGGUUCCUGUCCAACGUUAAUCGGGGCAGGGUGAGUCGACCCCUAAGGCGAGGCCGAAAGGCGUAGUCGAUGGGAAACAGGUUAAUAUUCCUGUACUUGGUGUUACUGCGAAGGGGGGACGGAGAAGGCUAUGUUGGCCGGGCGACGGUUGUCCCGGUUUAAGCGUGUAGGCUGGUUUUCCAGGCAAAUCCGGAAAAUCAAGGCUGAGGCGUGAUGACGAGGCACUACGGUGCUGAAGCAACAAAUGCC